AGUGAACGCUGGCGGCAGGCCUAAUACAUGCAAGUCGAACGGCAGCACAGCAGAGCUUGCUCUGUGGGUGGCGAGUGGCGGACGGGUGAGGAAUACAUGGGAAUCUGCCCAGUCGUGGGGGAUAACGUAGGGAAACUUACGCUAAUACCGCAUGCGCCCUUCGGGGGAAAGCCGGGGACCUUCGGGCCUGGCGCGAUUGGAUGAGCCCAUGUCGGAUUAGCUAGUUGGCGGGGUAAAGGCCCACCAAGGCGACGAUCCGUAGCUGGUCUGAGAGGAUGAUCAGCCACACUGGAACUGAGACACGGUCCAGACUCCUACGGGAGGCAGCAGUAGGGAAUAUUGGACAAUGGGCGCAAGCCUGAUCCAGCCAUGCCGCGUGAGUGAAGAAGGCCCUCGGGUUGUAAAGCUCUUUUGUCCGGAAAGAAAAGCGCCGGGUUAAUACCCUGGUGUCCUGACGGUACCGAAGAAGUAAGUACGACCGACCGUAACCUUACGUUCGGUCCGACGCGACGACCGGACC
rnacentral:rRNA from 1 species